AGCCUGCUGCCGAUAGAAGAAAACUUCCUGCUGCAAUUUAAGGGAUCACACCAGAUAGACGUGGCUACCUUCAACAAAAUAUUCGAGCAUUACGACAAGGACAAGAACGGCACAAUAUCAGGGUCCGAAUUGGAUACAUUCCUCAUGGAUAUCCUAACAGGACUUCGCCCCGACGACGAAGCGUCUAACCAGGAUCUGCAGAAAUUCAAGAAGAUGGUUAUGAAAUCGUGCGACCUGACGAAGGACGGCCAGUUGCAGAAGGAGGAGAUGGCAUUGUGGCUGGGAAUACCCAUCUCUAUUUAUUGAAUGCGUCACCCGCGAUGUGUGUGUGCGCGCGUUGAUCACUCCCCAACUUGCAUCUUUCUUUAGUCGAUUGACUUACGUUGAUCGAGUCCGCUAGAUGGCAGCACGGUGGAGUGUAUCGUCUGCGCACCUAAAAAAUCACAGGUGGAAGAUAGUAUAUGAUUGCUCUGCAAAAGUCUCAUGCCAGCUAUACCUUGGUUACUUCUGCGCUUCCUAGUGCAAUGCAGCGUACAGUUCCGCUACUCAGGGUACUAACUACUACUGUGUGAAUUACUAGGCAAAUGUCUCGCACCCUGGUGUCCAGAGGUGUUCGCAUACAAUAUGCUAGGUGCUUCCGCCCUUUUUCGGUAUACACAACACUUCAGCGUUACACCACGAGUAAGGCGUGUUGUCCGCCUCUAUUAUACGUACUUGAGCCGGCCCGAAUCUUUAACGUGUUAAAUCGGUAACUACGUUUCGUGCAUAUAUCUAAACAACGCACGGCGGCAUGGACAUCACCACUGGAACCCAUAUGCCAAGAGAGAUCCUUGUAGACUCCAUUUCAGGCUUCCGGUUUCACGAGUUCCGGGACGUCAUUUCCGAACCAGAUCGUCGUCGAGUUCGCAGCAAUGUUCGUAAGCCUUUGUCAAUAACGACCAACUGUUACCGAUGACGAUAUUACGCUAUAGCCAUCGCCGGGUCUCGAUUCGAUUAAUCUGGAUUUGAUUACUCAGUGACCAACGGCACCGAGCAAUUAAGGAAUUAAGUAUCAUUCCAUUGGUUACCUUAGCCGGUUAAUCGGCUUAAACCUUCUUAUAUAUGAUUGCUUGGUACGCUGAACCGUCUGUACGAGAUGCCUUGUCAUAAGUCUGGCUAAUUGCCAGCUUUAUAAUUAAUGAAUGUUACGUCACGUUGUGACAUCACGAUGAUGAAAUGUUUAAAAAAUUAGCAUCAUAAUUGCUGAGCGCGGUCACAACAAGUUUCUGUCGUGAGCUACAUACACAGCACACACACACACAUGUGCACAAACACACACAUACACAUACACACAGGCACACACACACACAC